rnacentral:rRNA from 1 species
UACGUAGGGGGCAAGCGUUGUCCGGAUUUAUUGGGCGUAAAGAGCGUGUAGGCGGCCAUACAGGUCAGCUGUGAAAACUCGAGGCUCAACCUCGAGACGUCGGUUGAAACCGUAUGGCUAGAGUCCGGAAGAGGAGAGUGGAAUUCCCGGUGUAGCGGUGAAAUGCGCAGAUAUCGGGAAGAACACCCGUGGCGAAGGCGGCUCUCUGGGACGGUACUGACGCUGAGGAGCGAAAAGCG